UGCCUACGGGGGGCAGCAGUGGGGAAUAUUGCACAAUGGGGGAAACCCUGAUGCAGCGACGCCGCGUGAGCGAGGAAGUAUUUCGGUAUGUAAAGCUCUGUCAGCAGGGAAGAAGAAUGACGGUACCUGAAGAAGAAGCACCGGCUAAAUACGUGCCAGCAGUCGCGGUAAUACGUAUGGUGCAAGCGUUAUCCGGAUUUACUGGGUGUAAAGGGAGCGCAGGCGGUUCUGCAAGUCUGAUUUUAAAGCCCGGGGCUCAACCUCGGGACUGCAUUGGAAACUGCGGGACUG
rnacentral:rRNA from 1 species